rnacentral:rRNA from 1 species
UACGUAGGGUGCGAGCGUUAUCCGGAAUUAUUGGGCGUAAAGAGCUCGUAGGCGGUCUGUCGCGUCGGUCGUGAAAACUUGGGGCUUAACCCUGAGCUUGCGUUCGAUACGGGCAUGACUGGAGUUCGGCAGGGGAGACUGGAAUUCCUGGUGUAGCGGUGAAAUGCGCAGAUAUCAGGAGGAACACCGGUGGCGAAGGCGGGUCUCUGGGCCGAUACUGACGCUGAGGAGCGAAAGCGUGGGGAGCGAACAGG